rnacentral:rRNA from 1 species
GAUGAACGCUGGCGGCGUGCCUAAUACAUGCAAGUCGAGCGAACGGACGAGAAGCUUGCUUCUCUGAUGUUAGCGGCGGACGGGUGAGUAACGCGUGGAUAACCUACCUAUAAGACUGGGAUAACUUCGGGAAACCGUAGCUAAUACCGGAUAAUAUUUUGAACCGCAUGGUUCAAAAGUGAAAGACGGUCUUGCUGUCACUUAUAGAUGGAUCCGCGCUGCAUUAGCUAGUUGGUAAGGUAACGGCUUACCAAGGCAACGAUGCAUAGCCGACCUGAGAGGGUGAUCGGCCACACUGGAACUGAGACAAGGUCCAGACUCCUACGGGAGGCAGCAGUAGGGAAUCUUCCGCAAUGGGCGAAAGCCUGACGGAGCAACGCCGCGUGAGUGAUGAAGGUCUUCGGAUCGUAAAACUCUGUUAUUAGGGAAGAACAUAUGUGUAAGUAACUGUGCACAUCUUGACGGUACCUAAUCAGAAAGCCACGGCUAACUACGUG